UCAAGCAGAGGACGGAACUGGCGGCCGUCGCCCAUUGUUAGGAAAUGUGGGAGUGCCACCCCACCUGCUUGU
rnacentral:ncRNA from 12 species